CACACAUGAGAACACACACAUCUUCACUCUUUGUCUCUUUCUCUUAUUCUUAACCAGUUGAUAACCAUGGUUUUGAUCCCGGUUUAGCAAACCGGUUUAAUCUCGAAGUCACUUCCAAAAAAAAUUAAGAGGAGUGUAUUUGCAAACAAAAAAAGACCAAACAAAUAAGCAUAUCAUCAAUGAAAACUGUAAAAGUCACGUGGGACCCGUGGUUAUGGCUUUUAUGGUCAGGAUUUCAGGUUCAACGGUUCCACAUCUUUCACGGCAUCGGUCCCGUGACGUCCGCCUGAAAGUCCAAACUGAACCCACACGGCUCUAAGGAACGUCACUCUCCACGGUCCACGUGCACCGCUAGUAGCCAUGAUGCGUCACAACUUUCACGAGACGUCCGAUACAAAUUUCAAAAGUCUAUGUGGGUUGAAACAGUUUGCAUAUGCAAGUACUUAUGGUAAUAUGUAAUAGUCAUAAAAUAUCUACUCAUUUCUGUUUACUUGAAAAAGUGGGGUUUUCAGUUGACUUUUUUAGGUGAAAUAU